UUGAAAUCUUGCCUCUACAUCAAGACGUUGAACAAGAACCAAUGUUGAGUAAUAAUAAGAGGAAAGCAAUGGAAGAAGUGAUAUCUACUGAUCGAUCACGUCCUAAAUACAAUGAUAUCACAACCUUGGUUUGACCCUUUCUCUCAUUCGGUGUCCUGCCGAAGUUUCUAUAACAAAAGACUUUGCUUCAGAGUUUUUUUCCUUAGGUUUGUUGUAGGAAUGCUUCUUCUGGUGAAUACAGGGCUAGCAUAGAGAAUGAAGAGGAGAGAUGUAUGUAGUCUGUAGAUAUUGAUGGUAAUGGACCUAUCAUUAUGAAAAAUCAGUAAAUUCCAAGUUAAGUUUAUUUUUCUUAGUUUGCUGGUAUCAAAACAAACUCAAGAGUAAAUAAAUUUUACUUUCUUAUUUUUCCAUGUUUUGUAUGAGUCUAUGAUUUGUUUCCAGGAAAAAUAAAACGGUCCCAAAACAAAACACUUGAGUAAGAUAUAUGAGACUUAUGAAGCUUUUGUCUAGUUUAUGUAAGGCCUUUAUAGGCUUGAAUAGUACUCUUGUCCGGAAUCACACCAGGUGCUGAUUGGGCGGUUAGUCCAGAUCACGAUUUACCGGGUAUUACUAGGGGUCUAGAAAGUAUUUUCUCCUCAUCAGCCAGCCUUAUACUUUCUCACCGGCUGAAGAUCUUAACUACAACGAUCACUCCACUCCAAAAUCCAUGAUUCAUAUCAUAUCAAAUGUAUUCUUACCCUUACACACACUUUGAGUGCUUAAUCAUACCAUUCAUCACUACUAAACAUUUCUAUGAGUUGUGCUUUCUUGUCGUAAAGACUAUGUUAAGUUAAAAAAAAAUAACUUUGUAAAUGCUCUCAUCAUGGACUUUUUUAUGAUAAGUAUAUACAAAGAUAGUAAACGCCUUUGCUUGAUUGAUAAUUUAUUCUAAGAAAAUUCUACUACGAGAUUCCAACCAUAAAAUAGAAAGCUGUGUAGAAAAAUGAUUUGAACCAUAAAGAUAUUAAACUACAACAUAUUUUCUUGAAAAAAUGACCUCUAAUAUAGAUUUAAGGUCCCAAAGGAAAGGGAUCAAGCUUGAUGAAUAUUUUUUUUUUUGAAAACUUGAAAAAUUAUUGAACUAUUCCGUUUGUUUGCAUGUAAGAAUAGAUAAGUGUAUUCCCAUUGUUCAAAGUUCAAAUAUUGGAAAUAAGGUCCUAGCUUUAUUUUAAUUAAUAAAUUAUGCUUGAAUGUAAGAAACUAAACUGUUUGUAAUUUGACAACUGUUAUUAGGGGCUCUAAGAAUAUCUCAUAAAACAUUAAAUGUAUUUUUCCUUAUUACUCUUUUAAUUUCAAUUUAGAUACUUAACGAGUGUAUAUAGAUUGAAUUGCUCUAAGCUGUGUAUAUGGGCAUAAGAAUCUAUCAGUGCCAAGUGUCAAAAUACAAUCAUGGCCGUUGAUUAUGUAUUUUCAGAUACUUAUUAAAACCGAAAAAGAUAAAAAGGUUUAAAAAAAAAAAAAUAUUCUGUGGGACCCAUUAAAUCUGAUUCAAGGACCCACAUUUAAAUGGCUAUAGGAUUUAUGUUUAUCUAUUCUUCUUCACACAGUUUCUCAUAUUUCACAGAAAUGACUUCUUUUUCCUGAGCUGCACUAAGGUUUCUCUAGAAAACUUUCAAGGUAAUUUUUCUAGCAAACUCAUCAUCUUCAUCCUUUUCAACAACUUCACAAAUUACUAAAACUCAGAUUCUUCCUUGUUAAUUUUAAUUUAAUUGAUAACGAAAAAAAAUUAAUUUAAUUCUGUUUUUCUACUCUCUGUAAAAGACGACGUUCAUAAUAUUCCCUUUUCCUUACGUACUCUCUGAAUCUUUAAUCCACAUGAAAAAAAUCUUUAUCAAUUCAAAGAGAGAAAGAGAUCAAAUCUUUUUUUUUUGUCAAAGUUAUGUAAGAAUCAAGAAUCUCGUCAAACGGAAUCUCUAUCCAGCUGCUGUGACGUUUCAGACGUCGCAUACUAUGUAAUGAUCAUAAACCCUCGUGAAUCCAGUUUGACCUACUCUGUUUUUCAUCUCUCUGUUAUUGCUCUGUUUCUAGGUGAGGAACAAGGUCGAACUCUGUAUUCAAAAAACUACCGCCAAGUAUCUUGAGAAGACUUACCAAAGCUGAUUAAUUUUCUUGAUUCCAUAUAAAGUUUUUUUUGUUGGGCUUAGUUUCUUACCUGUGCUCUCAUUGAUCACUACAUGAAAUUAGUAAAUGUCUCUUAUUUUUCUGGUAUAUAUUUUUUUAAACUAUAAUCUACUUCUUUAUUUUUCUAAAAUGGAGAAAGAAAUAUACGACUGUAAAAUUAUUACUAUUGUUUUUUUACUUCUCUUAUUUAUCUUUUCAUAGUUACCACAUAUACAAUUAAAAAAGUUACAGACAAUCUAGCAAUAAUUUUUUUUACAGAUACAACGUAAAAUCAUCAAUUCUAUAUAAUAAACGUAGCAGCAGUGAUACCAUCUGAUGAUGACAUUAAAAGGAUAUUGUUUUCCUUGCCGAGAUGUAAGGCCCCUGGCCCAGAUGGUUUUACAGUCGAGUUUUUCACCUCAGCUUGGGAUUUAAUGGGGCCAGAUCUUGUUAAAGCUGUCAAGGAUUUCUUCAUCAGCCUUAUCCUCCCUCGCCAGACCAAUGCUACUGUCCUUUCGCUUAUUCCAAAGUCACCGGGUGUUUCUUCACUGUCAUACUUUAGACCUAUUUCUCUCUGUAAUACGGUCUAUAAAGUUAUAUAAAAAAUUUUGGAUUCCCGCUUAAAGGAGAUAACAGUACAAGCAGUUCAAAGAAAUCAAGCAGGUUUUGUACAAGACAGAUUGUUAAGUGAAAAUGUUCUACUUGCUUCCGAGUUAGUGGUUGAUUUCCACAAGCAAGGUAGGACUAGGCGAGAUUGUCUUCAGGUGGAUAUUACGAAGGCUUUUGAUAGCAUCGAGUGGAGCUUCAUUCUCAACAUCCUUAGUGCCUUUGACCUGCCAGCGAUGUUUAUUGAUUGGAUAAAACUGUGCAUCACGUCACCCUAUUAUUCAGUAGCUUUGAAUGGUGAGCUGGGGGGUUUUUCCCUGGAAAGAAAGGAUUGAGGCAAGGAGAUUCAAUAUCCUCAUCCCUCUUUGUUUUGGCAAUGGACAUUCUCUCAAAAGAUUUGGAUAAUGCAGCCACAAAUGGUGUAUUUACUCCUCAUCCUCAAUGUCAAGAUCCUUUAAUCACUCAUUUGAGCUUUGCUGAUGACUUGUUGAUCUUCUUCGAUGGCACGGAUGAUUCGCUACGGGAAAUUUUACAGGUCAUGAGGGACUUUCAGUCUAAAUCAGGACUUGCUCUAAACAUUAGGAAGACUUGUGUUUUUGUAGAUGGAGAUGAGUCUGCGUCUACUACUCUAGCAUCAGAUUUUGGGUUGGUUCGUGGCAGUCUACCAGUUCGUUAUCUGGGUCUCCCACUAUCAGAUUCUAAGAAAGUUUUUUUUGUUUCUGUUUUGCAGUAACUACAGUUGAUUCAGGGUCUAAGGCUCUUGAGUUUCUGGGUUUGAGAGAAAGCAAUGAGAGCAACGACCCAAAUGCACCCUCUUCAUCACCUGUAACACAUCAGGUUUAGUUAUUUAUUUAUUUAUUCACUAUUCAAUUGAGUUUUUAAUCUACACAAUUCAUAAUAUUGAAGUUUGUUGGUAGCGUUGUGCAGGAAAUUGAAAUAAAUCUUAUAAUUACAGAUUACUGCAUGCCUGGCAUGACUGGUUAUGAUUUGCUCAAGAGAGUUAAGGUAUUAUCUUCUUGCUUUUUUUUAUGGUAUUGUAUAAAACAGAAAAUUUUGAUUUCCUGAGAAAUUACAUUAAGUUAAUAUGAUUGUGUAGGAAUCAGCAGCAUUUAGAAGCAUUCCCGUAGUGAUAAUGUCAUCUGAGAACGUUCCUGCUAGAAUCUCCAGGUAAGCAUCUGUUUCUUAAUUUACAAUUAAAAUUUUGAAUCUUAUUUGUGAGUUGGCAUUAGUGUUACUUUAACUUUGGACCGAUAGAACCAUUAACAAUGUAGAUAAUGUCCUGAAAAUGUGAACAACAGAUGUCUGGAAGAAGGAGCUGAGGAGUUCUUCUUGAAGCCAGUAAAGUUGGCUGAUGUUACCAAGUUGAAACCUCAUAUGAUGAAAACCAAACUGAAGAAAGAAAGCGAGAAACCAUCAAAAGAAGAUAAUGCAGUUUUGAAACAUGAGAUAAGAAAAGAUGAAGAACCAUCCGUGAUUGAAAUCUUGCCUCUACAUCAAGACGUUGAACAAGAACCAAUGUUGAGUAAUAAUAAGAGGAAAGCAAUGGAAGAAGUGAUAUCUACUGAUCGAUCACGUCCUAAAUACAAUGAUAUCACAACCUUGGUUUGACCCUUUCUCUCAUUCGGUGUCCUGCCGAAGUUUCUAUAACAAAAGACUUUGCUUCAGAGUUUUUUUCCUUAGGUUUGUUGUAGGAAUGCUUCUUCUGGUGAAUACAGGGC
rnacentral:lncRNA from 1 species